rnacentral:rRNA from 1 species
AGCAGCCGCGGUAAUUCCAGCUCCAAUAGCGUAUAUUAAAGUUGUUGCAGUUAAAAAGCUCGUAGUUGAAUUUCGGGAUCAGUACGAUGGUCGUGCCUCUGGUACGUACUGUUGUGACUGGUUCCUCCCUUCUGAAGAACUGUCAUGUCAUUAAUUUGGUGUGGCGGGGAAUCAGGACUGUUACUUUAGAAAAAAUUAGAGUGUUUAAAGCAGGCUCGCGCUUGAAUACAUUAGCAUGGAAUAAUGAAAUAGGACGUUUGAUCCUAUUUUGUUGGUUUCUAGGAUUGACGUAAUGAUUAAUAGGGAUAGUUGGGGGCAUUAGUAUUCAAUUGUCAGAGGUGAAAUUCUUGGAUUUAUUGAAGACUAACUACUGCGAAAGCAUUUGCCAAGGAUGUUUCAUUAAUCAAGAACGAAAGUUAGGGGAUCGAAGACGAUCAGAUACCGUCGUAGUCUUAACCAUAAACUAUGCCGACUAGGAUCGGAUGAUGUUAAUUUUUUAAUGACUCAUUCGGUACG